CCUACGGGUGGCUGCAGUGGGGAAUAUAGGACAAUGGGGGAAACCCUGAUGCAGCGACGCCGCGUGAGCGAAGAAGUAUUUCUGUAUGUAAAGCCCUAUCAGCAGGGAAGAAAAUGACGGUACCUGAGUAAGAAGCUCCGGCUAAAUACGUGCCAGCAGCCGCGGUAAUACGUAUGGAGCAAGCGUUAUCCGGAUUUACUGGGCGUAAAGGGGGCGUAGGCGGGUUGCCAAGUCUGAUGUGAAAUACCGGGGGUCAACCCCGGGGCUGCAGUGGAAACUGGCAGGCUGGAGUGCCGGAGAGGCAGGCGGAAUGCGUGGUGUAGCGGUGAAAUGCAUAGAUAUCAGGAAGAACACCGGUGGCGAAGGCAGCCUGCUGGACGGUGACUGACGCUGAGGCUCGAAAGCGUGGGGAGCGAACAGGAUUAGAUACCCGGGUAGUC
rnacentral:rRNA from 1 species